rnacentral:tRNA from 1 species
AGGCGGUAUAGCCAAGUGGUAAGGCAGAGGAUUGCAAAUUCUUUAUCCCCAGUUCGAGUCUGGGUACCGCCUA